AGUAGAUUCUGCCAAUGACAGAGUAAAGGACAGCUGGAGAUAAACAAAAGGUCCAGUUUAGCACCGAUCUGACUGUUAAAGCCUGCUGUUUAGAUUCCAAAUGCUGUUUAAAGUCUUUUGAAGACACUGGCUUUCCUGAAUGAAGACCUCUCUUCUGAAUCACUGUCGGAGACAAUUUUACAUCCGAAACAACGUUGUUGAACCUCAAACCAAAGUAUGGAGGUGUUGAGUGGCCCCUGGGCUGAUCUGGCCUUGUUUCUGCAACGGACUGCUGCACUCUCAAAUGAGACAGACACGUUUCUUCCUCUCUGGCUGUUUGGAUUGCUGAUGUUUCUGUCUGUCUGUCUGCUGCUGCUUCAGCUGAUCGUCUUCCUCAGCUGGAAACUCAGACAUGCAGAGGAUGAUCUUUCUGGGUUACUGUGGAACAAAAGCGCCAUCCACCGGCAGCGAUUACAAAAUGAACGGUCUCAUUCAUGCACCUGACAGGAUAAAGACCCAGGAUGAUUUUUCUUGGUUUUUGCGGUGAGGUACUGAAAUGCACCAAAGACAUGAGAAAGACCUUCUGGGACGAGAGAGUGACGUCUUCAGCCACAACUCCUCCUCCUCCUCCUUCCUUUCUUCAGCUCCUCUUCUGGCAGUCGGUUCAUGUAGAAUGAUGAAGAUCGUUUGUUGUCAAGAGAGAAGAAACGCCACCGUAGGCCCUUCAGUGCUGGGGAAAGGGACAGAGAUCAGUCGGUAGUAGGGAUGGGUACCUUUGACAUUUGAAUCGAUUUGGUACUAAUUCCCGGUACCUAGGAAUCGAUACCGGUACUUAACGGUACCAAUUUUAGAUACUUUUGAGUGUUUAAUACUUUAAUUCUCUUUUAUAAUUAAAUAUAUAUUUUUCUCAAUAUAUAACCAUAUUUGAUAAAAAUCACGAUAAAAUACAAACAGUUGUAUGUUAUUUAAUAUCGUCCUUGUAGUUUUAUAAGCUGAUAAUUAAACUGAAGCAAACAUCU